rnacentral:rRNA from 1 species
GACGAACGCUGGCGGCGUGCCUAAUACAUGCAAGUCGAACGCAGCGGGGACGGGUGAGUAACACGUGGGUAACCUCCCAUCAGAGGGGAGAACACUUGGAAACAGGUGCUAAACCGAUACUGAUGGAUGGACCCGCGGUGCAUUAGCCAGGUGGUGAGGUAACGGCUCGCCAAGGCCACGAUGCCUAGCCGACCUGAGAGGAUGAUCCGCCACACUGGAACUGAGACACGGCCCGAACUCCUACGGGAGGCAGCAGUAGGGAAUCUUGGACACUGGACGAAAGUCUAACCGAGCAACGCCGCGUGAGUGAAGAAGGUUUUCGGAUCGUAAAACUCUUUUGUUAGAGAAGCGGUAUCUAACCAGAAAGCCACGGCUAACUACGUGCCAGCAGCCGCGGUAAUAC